AUAUACAAAAGCGUGGUAGAAUGUUAGGACCCAAAUAUCCCAAAUUGAGAGCUCUCGAGAACCCUUUCCAUACAAGUUAAUAUUUAAUUGUAAGUUCUACCCAUGGCCCCUCUUCUCACAAGGAGAAGAUCUUACUGUAGUUACCACCUAUGGCUUCAUCAGAAAUUUAUCUCUAAGACUCUUUUUAAUCAUUUUGGUUAAAUAUUUCCAAGUCUAGUGUAAUUCUAUGUGUGUAUGCCUAAAGUUUGUGUAAUCCUAUGGUUAACUGUUUUAGAAGCGUAAGGAUAUCCGUGUUCGACUGCUUGCAAUAAAUUUCAUCCAUGAAACCCUUGUGCACAAUUGGUAAUUGCUCAAUGAAAUUUUAGUGAAGAGUAUGUUUCUUGUGAAGAAACCUUUCAUCCUUAGCCUAAAAGGAUUUGGAUUAAAUUUAAUUGGAACGGAUUAGCCUAGUUGUAAUCCAAUCCAACAUCAAUUAUAGCCCAAACGUGGCAUUAAUGGAGGAUCAUCUAAUUCCUAAUUCCCAUGCCACAUUUGAGCUCGCAACCUGCAGCCUGUAUUCAAUUUUCCUGUUGUGGUUUUUUAGUUUUUUGUUAACAUGGAUUCGGUCUGAUCAGUUGAUAUAUAUAUAAUUAAAUAUACAGAAACGUUGAUAUAGAUCUAAAUUUUCAUUGAAGAGUUAGGUUUAAUUCCCGGAUUUGGGGACUUUGAUCCAAGUCCUUUGACUUUGUGCCACGUAGAAUUACAUUCCAUUUUAAAUAUUUUUUGAUUUUCCCACUUCCCUUUUCUCCACUUACACUCCCUUUUUCUUUUUAAUACUUUUUAAUCAAUUUUGUUUAUUCUCUUUCCUAUUCUACCCUUACCCUACAUUAAUUUCUUUUUAUUUCACUUUUAUAUUAGUUUUUUUUUAAUACUUAAUUUUCCAACUUGCACUCCAUUUUUAAUAUUUUUUUUCCCUUAAUUGAGUAAGAAAUUAAGUUUUUUUUCCCCCCCCCUAAUACUGAAAAUGGAGUAUAAGUUAAAAAAUUAAGUAUAAAGAAAAAUAAAUAAUAUAAAAGUAAAGCAAAAAAGAAAUUAAUGUAGGGUAAAAAUAGAAUAGGAAAGAGAAAGAAAAAAAUUGAUUAAAAAGCAAAAGGGAGUGUAAGUGGAAAAAAUGGGUAACAUACAAUUUUAUUUUGUCUAUUUUUGUAUCUGACUUAUAAGUAGUCUUCUAAUUUAUGUUCCUAACUUAUAGGUAUAGUCUUUUAAUUUAUGUUCUAACUUAUAAGUAACAUGAUUUAUCAUCACUAAGAUUUUUUCGUUGGUAAUAAUUACACUAUUUACUUGUAUGUUAGGUAAAUUAAUGUGGGUACUUGUUUGAUUGAUUGGUAUAAUAUGUGGGUCUUUACUUUUUAUGGAUUAAAUUGUAUUUUAUCCAUAAUUAGGAAUAUUAUCAAGGAAAGAAUUCAAAAUUUAAAUUUUGGAAUUCAAUUACAAGGAAAUAAUCCAUUAAAUUUAAAAUUUUCAAUGUGUUUUCCUUAUUUACCUCAAAGGGUAAAAUCAACACAACAAAAAAAGUGAUAAAUGUCAAAGGACCUACAUAUAAACGCGUGGACUAAACCCAAUGACAGCUAAUCAUUUUGGACCUAAAUCUAAAAAGCCCUUAAAUAUAAUUAGUUUCCUUGUAUAUACUUAAUUUUUUAUUCUUUUGGGGGAGAAGAAAAUGCAGACAAUAAGGGUCUAGAUGGUAGGAGCGUAAUCCAGAAGUUUGGAUUAAAUUGGCAUGGCGGGUAGCAUAUUUGUGCCAGCAUUAGCUGUAUCGAUGGUCUCAAUGGCAACCAAAGGCCAUAAUUAAACACAUCGGCAAAGAAGACGACUUCACCCUUAGGGUUGCUUAAUGCUUCUAACAGCUUAAGGAUCCGCAUCACUACCGAAUCCGGGAUAUGGUAAUCCGCCCAGAUCUUGGCCAACUCCCAAUCCGUCAGCAUGUUCAACUCCAGGAAGUCUGCUUUAAAGACUAGACCAUUUGGCUGUGCCAUCGGCACCCGUUGGUUACCAGUCACAACUCUCAAAAUCCCUUCAGCAGGAAUGGACGUUGAACCUUUGGCCGCUUGAUCACCAUGACCAGAUGUAGAAUUUCUGAUUGAUAACUCGUGUGUUGAUCCAUCACACCAGUAUCUUGCAUAAGAAACUCCACAUAGUGGGCCAUAUAUUGGCCCGAAGAGAACUUGAAGCAGGACACAUAGUGCAUGCAGCUUCGACAGGCACUACUCACAUUGAAUAUACAAGUAUAUCGAUAGUACUCAGGCUACACCCAUCGCCAUUGCUUCUGAUAUACUCAACCCUAAAACAGAUUUCUAAGCAUAUGUGUGAAAGAAGUGCAAUUCACUUACCCAAAGAAAACGUGAUGAUGAUUGUUUGAUAGCCGGUAGCAAAGGAUGCUCAGCGAAAACAAUCAAGGAAGUGAAAGAGAAAGACUAGAUGAGGGAGGUUCUGCCACAAGAGAAGAGAAAUAGACAAAUUUAAGUCUGGAAUAGCCGGUAGCAAAAACAACCGAGGAAGUGAAAGAGAAAGACUAGAUGAAUGAGGUAAAUGAGUGAAGCUGCCUCAAAGGAAGGAAUGGAUGACACCAUUGGGCCAAUGUCGAUAAAGUGCGCCGAUGAUGACGUCAUAUACAUAAGCGUGGUAGAAUGUUAGAACCCAAAUAUCCCAAGUUGAGAGCUCUCGAGAACCCUUUCCAUACAAGUUAAUUUUUAAGUGUAAGUUCUACUCAUGGCCCCUCUUCUCACAAGGAGAAGAUCUUACUGUAGUUACCACCUAUGGCUUCAUCAGAAAUUUAUCUUUAAGACUCUUUUUAAUCAUUUUGGUUAGAUAUUUCCAAGUCUAGUGUAAUUCUAUGUGUGUAUGCCUAAAGUUUGUGUAAUCCUAUGGUUAACUGUUUUAGAAGCGUAAGGAUAUCCGUGUUCAACUGCUUGCAAUACAUUUCAUCCAUGAAACCCUUGUGUACAAUUGGUAAUUGCUCAAUGAAAUUUUAGUGAAGAAUAUGUUUCUUGUGAAGAAACCUUUCAUCCUUAGCCUAAAAGGAUUUGGAUUAAAUUUAAUUGGAAUGGAUUAGCCUAGUUGUAAUCCAAUCCAACAUCAAUUAUAGCCCAAACGUGGCAUUAAUGGAGGAUCAUCUAAUUCCUAAUUCCCAUGCCACAUUUGAGCUCGCAACCUGCAGCCUGUAUUCAAUUUUCCUGUUGUGGUUUUUUAGUUUUUUGUUAACGUGGAUUCGGUUUGAUCAGUUGAUACAUAUAUAAUUUAAUAUACAGAAACGUUGAUAUAGAUCCAAAUUUUCAUUGAGGAGUUGGGUUUAAUUCCCGGAUUUGGAGACUUUGAUCUAAGUCCUUUUUUGUGCCACGUAGAAUUACAUUCUAUUUUAAAUAUUUUUGAUGUAAUUAUUAUUUUAUUUUAAAAAUCAUUUUUUGUUCCAAUAUUGCCCCUUAUGACUUGAAUCGGGUAAUAGUAAUUUAUGUCAUAUUGCCUAUUGCAUAGGUAUAUAUAUAUGUUUUUUCAUAUUUUCGACAAUGUGUAAUAGUAUUUUAUGCACCUUUUUUUUUUUUUUUUUUGGGAUAUGAUUUCCCAACUCCCCUUUUCUCCACUUACACUCCCUUGUGGUUUUUAAUACUUUUUAAUUAAUUUUGUUUCUUCUCUUUCCUAUUCUAUUCUUAUCCUACAUUAAUUUCUUUUUACUUCACUUUUAUAUCAGUUCUUUUUUAUUUAUUUUUAAAAUACUUAAUUUUUCAAUUUGCACUCCAU
rnacentral:lncRNA from 1 species